rnacentral:rRNA from 1 species
CAAACGACUCUCGGCAACGGAUAUCUCGGCUCACGCAUCGAUGAAGAACGUAGCAAAAUGCGAUACUUGGUGUGAAUUGCAGAAUCCCGUGAACCAUCGAGUUUUUGAACGCAAGUUGCGCCCGAAGCCAUUCGGCCGAGGGCACGUCUGCUUGGGCGUCACGC